GCAAACUUGGUCAUUUAGAGGAAGUAAAAGUCGUAACAAGGUAACCGUAGGUGAACCUGCGGUUGGAUCAUUACUGAAAACGAUUCUCCGCCCCCCUCUUCAUUCGUUCGUUCGUUCGUUCGUUCUUUCGUCGUUCUUUCUUUCAAUUGGAGGGGGGGUGUCGGUUUCAAUCAACCCAUUGUGAACUGUUCUUGUCUCUGGCGGCGGGGUGGGGGCCCAAAGUGGGUGUGGGAAGUGUGUGUUUGCAACGCCAGCAACGACACUUCUGCACCUUCUCCUCACCUGUCAGCCUGGGGGGCUCCUCUACCCGGAGCUCUCCUCGCCGUGGACAAACCGCCAACCGUGUUCCAAACACCUUUUUUUUUGUUGUCGUCUUAAAUCAUAUCUGUUAUAUCAAAUACAGAAACAACUUUUGGCAACGGAUCUCUUGGCUCUCGCAUCGAUGAAGAACGCAGC
rnacentral:misc_RNA from 1 species